UACAGAGGUCUCGAGCGUUUGUUCGGAUUCAUUGGGCGUAAAGGGUGCGUAGGUGGCGUGGUAAGUCUGGUGUGAAAUCCCGGGGCUCAACCCCGGAACUGCACUGGAUACUGCCAUGCUUGAGUACUGGAGAGGAGAUUGGAAUUUACGGUGUAGCAGUGAAAUGCGUAGAUAUCGUAAGGAAGACCAGUGGCGAAGGCGAAUCUCUGGACAGUUACUGACACUGAGGCACGAAGGCCAGGGGAGCAAACGGG
rnacentral:rRNA from 1 species